UCCCCGAUAGCUCAAUUGGCAGAGCAUCUGACUGUUAAUCAGAGGGUUCCUGGUUCGAGUCCAGGUCGGGGAGCCA
rnacentral:tRNA from 1 species